AUACUCACUUCAGCAGCACAAAAACUGAAAAUUGGAAUGAUACAGAGAAGAUUGGCAUGGACCCUGCAUAAGGAUGACAUGCAAAUUCAUGAAGCAUUCCAUAUUUUU